AGCCAUGCAUGCACCUGUGAUAAGGACAGAUAGCUCAGUAAAACUAGGCUAUUUACCCUCGGCGCGCGAUAACCUGGAGAAAUUCAGGCGUAAGGCGGAGGAUAAGGCCCAGGAUUAUCAGCUAGUUGGUAGUGUAACGGACUACCAAGGCGACGACGAUUGACGGGACACGGGAGUGUUAUGCCGGAGAGGGAGCCUGAGAGACUGCUCCCACGUCCAAGGACGGCAGCAGGCGCGAAAAUUGUCCACUCUUGUAGGAGACAGUUAUGAGAAGUACGAAGGAUAGGUUCUGCAAAGAAGGAUUCGAAAAUUGGAGGGCAAGCUUGGUGCCAGCAGCCGCGGUAAUACCAACUCCAAGAGUGUGUAUGGGAGUUGCUGCAGUUAAAAGGUCCGUAGUCGUGAUGGUAAAUAGGGCGCAAGCCCGCAUUUGACGUGGAGGGGCCGACGGGGGCCACAGUAUACAGGGGCGAGAGAUGAAAUGCCAAGACCCCCUGUGGACUCGGCGAGGCGAAGGCGGUGGCCCAGUAGGUGCUCGGUGAUCAAGGACGAAGGGUGGAGGAGCGAAGGUGAUUAGAUACCGCUGUAGUUUCACCAGUAAAAGAUGCCGACAGUCCCUGGCGGCGGCUCGUGCGGGCGCCGGGGAGCAGAGAAAUCGCAAGUGUUCGGGCUCUGGGGAUAGUAUGCUCGCAAGGGUGAAAAUUAAAGAAAUU
rnacentral:rRNA from 1 species